UACGGAGGGGGCUAGCGUUGCUCGGAAUUACUGGGCGUAAAGCGCACGUAGGCGGCUUUGUAAGUUAGAGGUGAAAGCCCAGGGCUCAACCCUGGAAUUGCCUUUAAGACUGCAUCGCUUGAACAUCGGAGAGGUAAGUGGAAUUCCGAGUGUAGAGGUGAAAUUCGUAGAUAUUCGGAAGAACACCAGUGGCGAAGGCGACUUACUGGACGAUUGUUGACGCUGAGGUGCGAAAGCGUGGGGAGCAAACAGG
rnacentral:rRNA from 1 species